rnacentral:rRNA from 1 species
UACGGAGGGUGCGAGCGUUGUUCGGAAUCACUGGGCGUAAAGCGCGUGUAGGCGGCCCACUAAGUCUGAUGUGAAAGCCCGGGGCUCACCCCCGGAAGUGCAUUGGAAACUGGUGGACUCGAGUCCCGGAGAGGAGAGUGGAAUUCCUGGUGUAGCGGUGAAAUGCGUAGAUAUCAGGAGGAACACCGGUGGCGAAGGCGGCUCUCUGGACGGUGACUGACGCUGAGACGCGAAAGCAUGGGGAGCAAACAGG